CGCGGUAAUUCCAGCUCCAAUAGCGUAUAUUAAAGUUGUUGCGGUUAAAAAGCUCGUAGUUGGAUCUGUGUCCCGCGCCGUCGGUUCACCGCCUGUCGGUGUUCAACUGGCGUGUAUGCGGGACGUCCUGCCGGUGGCGGUUCGGUCCCGCGGUAGCACGUAGGGUUCGGCCAGCGGUUCGCCGUUGCGUUGUCCUGAAGUCCUUCGCGGUGCAUCCGGCUGCCUUUUCAAUCCCGUCGCGGUGCCCUUUACCGAGUGUCGAGGCGGGCCGGCACGUUUACUUUGAACAAAUUAGAGUGCUUUAAGCAGGCCCUGUCCGCCUGUAUGUUGUGUGCAUGGAAUAAUGGAAUAGGACCUCGGUUCUAUUUUGUUGGUUUUCGGAAUCUGAGGUAAUGAUCAAUGGGGACAGGCGGGGGCAUUCGUAUUGCGACGUUAGAGGUGAAAUUCUUGGAUCGUCGCAAGACGGACCGAAGCGAAAGCAUUUGCCAAGUAUGUUCUCGUCGAUCAAGAACGAAAGUUAGAGGUUCGAAGGCGAUCAGAUACCGCCCUAGUUCUAACCAUAAACUAUGCCUGCCAGCGAUCCGCCGAAGUCCAUUAUAUGACUCGGCGGGCAGCUUCCGGGAAACCAGAGCUUUUGGGUUCCGGGGGAAGUAUGGUUGCAAAGCUGAAACUUAAAGGAAUUGACGGAAGGGCACCACCAGGAGUGGAGCCUGCGGCUUAAUUUGACUCAACACGGGAAAACUCACCAGGCCCGGACACCGGAAGGAUUGACAGAUUGAGAGCUCUUUCUUGAUUCGGUGGGUGGUGGUGCAUGGCCGUUCUUAGUUGGUGGAGCGAUUUGUCUGGUUAAUUCCGAUAACGAACGAGACUCUAGCCUACUAACUAGGCGUACCCGGUAUCCACAAUUGUGCUACCGGCGGUCAAAUUUCUUCUUAGAGGGACAGGCGGCGUCUAGCCGCACGAGACUGAGCAAUAACAGGUCUGUGAUGCCCUUAGAUGUCCUGGGCCGCACGCGCGCUACACUGAAGGAAUCAGCGUGUCUUCCUUGUCCGAAAGGACGGGUAACCCGCUGAACCUCCUUUGUGCUAGGGAUUGGGGCUUGCAAUUGUUCCCCAUGAACGAGGAAUUCCCAGUAAGCGCGAGUCAUAAGCUCGCGUUGAUUACGUCCCUGCCCUUUGUACACACCG
rnacentral:rRNA from 1 species